rnacentral:rRNA from 1 species
GUCUACACACACCACCCUGAAUGCUCCUGAUCUUGUCUGGUCUCAGAAGCCAAACAAGGUAGGGCUCAGUUAAUAACUGGAUGGGGGAAAUGAUCUCAUGAAUUUUUCUAGAUGUUAACC